UCAGACGAUGCGUCAUGCAUAUCAAUAAGCGGAGGAAAAGAAACUAACAAGGAUUCCCCUAGUAACGGCGAGUGAAGCGGGAAGAGCUCAAAUUUGAAAUCUUAAAGGGUUUCCCUUUACGAAUUGUAGUUUAAAGAAGUGUUUUCUGUUGAGGUUUUUGGUAAAAGUUCUUUGGAAUAGGACAUCAUAGAGGGUGAGAAUCCCGUAUUUGACCUUUACUUUCAACUUUGUGAUACACUUUCAAAGAGUCGGAUUGUUUGGGAAUGCAGUCCAAAAUGGGUGGUAAAUUUCAUCUAAAGCUAAAUAUUGGCGAGAGACCGAUAGCGAACAAGUACCGUGAGGGAAAGAUGAAAAGAACUUUGAAAAGAGAGUUAAACAGUACGUGAAAUUGUCAAAAGGGAAGCGUUUGACACCAGUGUUGUUUUUCUGAAAAUCAAUUAAAGAACUGUUUAUGCUUAAGCUGUUUAGGAUAGACUUUAUCAGCUAUCUGUUUAGUUUUGAGCUUUUCUUUAAUGCACUUUUCAGUUAACAAGUCAACAUCAAUUUCUUUUGCUGUAAAAAAGCUUGAGGAAGGUGGCUUGAGAUUCGUCUUAAGUGUUUAUAGCCUCUUGCCUAUGCAGUCGGAGAGAUUGAGGUCUGCAGCGUAGAUCCUUCGGGGCUAAAUGCAUUUGUGCUAAGUUAUAGCAUUUUAUAGACAACUUGUUGACUAUGAUUUGUCUUGUAGCUUACUCGCUUAUGUUAUUUUACCUACGCUUAGGAUGUUGACACACGCGCGUGCUCG
rnacentral:rRNA from 1 species